AAGUUCAGACAUUGAAACGUAAGGCCUUCUUACUGCAUACAGUUGCAUGAUGUUUCUGGUAAUCCCUCUGUAACAGUUGUUAAAUAUCUCUUAUCGCAGCUCAAUUGGGAAGCCCUUUUGGAAUGCAACAAAAAUAUCCAAGAAAUCCUGCAUACAAGAACGCAGGUAAAUUGGUGACUCUGGGUCAGUUUCUGGAAUUAGCGAAAACCAAGGCAGCAUAUGGAAUAUUAAUCAACAUAGAGGUAAGCAUUUCUUCUUUUCACUUCACAUGGAAAAUUGAUGUGAUUCAUUCAAAUUGCUACCCUGCUAUGCUUACAAAUAUGUACCUGCAGAAUGCUGCUUACCUAGCUGCAAAGAAGGGUCUUGAUAUAAUCGGCGCCGUUAACGCUGCCUUGAGCAAAGCCUCUUUGGACAAGGAGUCAACACUACAAGUCCUAAUCCAAUCAGAUGACACUUCAGUAUUGUCCAAAUUUAAGACUGUCCCCUCAUACCA
rnacentral:lncRNA from 1 species